UUCAUACGCCACGCGCUACGACUGUCAAAUAGAGUCAUAAUUUACAACCAAUGACAGACAGGCCUCGUGAUAAUGCGCGACAAAAACCGAAAGUCGGAUUGAUCCAUUGUUAAUCAUGGGCGUUCCAUUUCCCUAAAAUGGCAUGUCAGUCGGAACUAAGAGUUGUUUAUAAGGGUGGAAACCUAUCCCUGAGUUAACUAUCAAAGCUUUAAGUCGUGAUACAAACAACUAUAGCAAUAAUAUCAACUAGAUUUUAUAGGAUCUAACUAUUCUAACUAUCACACCAUGUCGAACAAGAUGAUGAAGUUUGUAUUCCAAGCAUUAUUGGCUGUCAUUGUGAUAGUGUGUUUUGUUGAGGGUGCCCCGCGUGCUGUUAAUAAGAUACACGGUGAAUGCAACAAAAGCGACACCAUAUCCCGAAUAUGCUACGCCUGUGCUCGGUUAUAUAACAAUAUAAAUUAUUACAAUCAAUGCUGCCUUGACAUCAUGCCUUUUCGUUCAUUCUGCACGCGCAUCUACGUUCAACCAAAACGAGGCAGUUACUAUUGAAGAGCUAACGGACUGACCAACGGCUUAUGGAUCUGAUUUUUCGAAUUUGGUUUUUCAGCUAAAAACAAGACACCCCUUGGACACCAUGAACUUUGAACUGUGCUUUUUAAAGGUUGUGUUAAAACGGGUUUAUGAAUAUAUAUGUGAUAUCUAUUCAUUAUUACAGUAACCAUGGUGAUGCUAUAAUACCAUUCCAACAAAGGACAGAUAGAUGAUAACAACGUUACGUCAGAUAACGCAAUGGAAGUUCAGACUUCCGUUCAUGACGUACAUUCCGGAGCGGGUUUUCCGACCAGUAGUCUGCCUUGAGUCUGAUUGGGUUUGCAUGAAUGACGUGGCAAUUGGUGAUGGUGUUGAUUAUAUUUUAAAAGGGGGCCGUGUUUCGAUGUACUUUUGUUUUCGUUUUACUCAUACCUAUAAUAAACUCAAUUCAUCAGCUCCCUCUGGUGUCAAGCAUACGCACUGCCCGUCUGUUAACUUAAUGUGUAUAUUAGAAAGACUUGACAAUUAUUCUGUGUUAGUGAUAGACUAGAUCAACCAAAGAUGUCUUCUAGAUUUUGUUUAUGGUUUACUACUGGAAGAAGACAGACUUUAUGAAAAAGAAACUGUGGUGAAGGAGGGAGGCGUUUAUAAGGGCAGAGCAAAACUAGGGCGUAUGUAUAAAGGGAGGGAAAGCUCUCUUAUUAUUGAACUCCUAGCAAGGGACAGCGUUGUGGCUUGUUAUUUUGAUUUUUAACGUUUUAAAAUAGUGCAAUUAUUUGAAAUCCGUGAAAUCAUUGUUGUUAAUAUGAUGGUGACGAUGAUGAUGAUGAAGAUGAUGAUGAUGAUUCAUCAUGUUAUUAUUUCGAGCUGUUAUUUAUUUGUAAAUAUAAAUGAUUAAUUUAUUCUUUAUUUGAGAGAUAUAUUUAUUGGAAUAAAUAGAUUAAAUACUA